AUUGAACGCUGGCGGCAUGCCUUACACAUGCAAGUCGAACGGUAGCAGGUCUUCGGAUGCUGACGAGUGGCGAACGGGUGAGUAAUACAUCGGAACGUGCCCGAUCGUGGGGGAUAACGAAGCGAAAGCUUUGCUAAUACCGCAUAAGAUCUACGGAUGAAAGCAGGGGACCGCAAGGCCUUGCGCGAACGGAGCGGCCGAUGGCAGAUUAGGUAGUUGGUGGGAUAAAAGCUUACCAAGCCGACGAUCUGUAGCUGGUCUGAGAGGACGACCAGCCACCCUGGGACUGAGACACGGCCCAGACUCCUACGGGAGGCAGCAGUGGGGAAUUUUGGACAAUGGGCGAAAGCCUGAUCCAGCCAUGCCGCGUGCAGGGUGAAGGCCCUCGGGUUGUAAACUGCUGUUGUACGGAACGAAAAGACUCUUUCUAAUAAAGAGGGUCCAUGACGGUACCGUAAGAAUAAGCACCGGCUAACUACGUGCCAGCCGCCGCCGUAAAAC
rnacentral:rRNA from 1 species